GAAGACUGUUCUGACUAGAGACAGACUUUUUCCAGGUUUCACAAAUCCUUUUUGCCACUGCAGGUAGAUGGCCUGUUUCUGUCUUCCUGGAUCCCCUGGACCUGGAGAAAGGCUACAGCCGUUGGAAACAUGCAGCUUUGACAGCAGGAGAUAUCCUGAAGAGGAGAAAAUAGUUUUGGGGACUUUGGGGUCAAGGAUCUGAUGUAUCUUUUGAUUAGGUUUCCACCAAUGACCGUCUUUGUCAAGAGAGUUUUCCAUUCCCCAGUGGAAAACCUAAUGGAACACCUAAUGGGAUGAUCUGGCUUUCUAGUAGGUGAAUGUGGGUUUUUUUUCCUGAAGGCUGAACAAUUUAAUUUACUUUUUGUAACUUCACAAGCUCCACAAAUGGAAAAUGAGUAAAAUAGAGAGGAGAAGAAUUGGUUGGACUGUAUGCUCUAUUAUGCCCCAUCCCUGGAGGCAUUCAGGACCGGGCUGGAUGUGGCUCUGGGCAGCCUGGUCUGCUGAUUGGUGACCCUGCCCAUAGCAGGGGGGUUGAAACGAGAUGAUCAUUGUGGUCCUUUUCAACCCGGGCCAUUCUAUGAUUCUAUGAUUAUGUGUUACAACACACUGGAGUUAUAAAAUGUUGUAAAUGUGCAUGUAGGGAACCAGGUGGGUAAACGUGCCUAUCUUACUGUCAGUGCAGUUUGAACUCUAUAAACUGUUUGACUUGGCAUCCUUGUAGAGACUAAUUUUGUCUUUAACAGACUUCAAAGCUGAGAGAAAUUUUCUUUAUCUUCUCCCAUUACUUGUAGUUAGAUAUUUGUUUCUGUCAAGUCAUGAGAUUGCCUUACACAGAACUCAGGUAAGUUAUCAGACAGAUAUGCCUGAAUGAUCCAAGCAUUGAUUUGCAUUACUCUUCAACAUUUAUUUUCUUUGAUUUCCAGAAUGUAUAGUCAGUAUUUUCCUUCAGGGAUUUUUCUAAUCUUUAAAUGUCCUGCAUGGUUAUUCCACUUUUCCUUCCUUCCCAGUCUGUUUGUAUCUUCCUAUGUAGUUUUUUUCUUUUAUUGGUGGGUGGGAGCACUUUGACACAACAUAGUAAGUUCAUAGCAUCACGCUGCACUUUUUAUAAUUGCUUUAUCCAUCCAUUUUCUCUGUGUUGAUGUCAAAGACAUAUCUUCAGCUUUGAAAAAGUAAUGAAAUGCUGACAGGCUUUUAAUAGCUCUGAAGGUGUAUAUUUUUUAAUAGUAAAUUAAUGAAAUUGUAGGAGUUGUAUAUUAUUUUCUUGUGAUUUGAAUUGAAGUUUAGAGUGUUUAAUUGAUUAAGAAACCACUUCAGAAUGUGCUCUUUCCAAGUCUGGCUCUUUACUUUUAUAAGUGUCUUCUGUUCAAUGAAAUCAUUGGUAGUUUCAUUUACCUUUACUCUUUUCUUCAGCCAUGCUGUGAUUUUUACUCUUAUAACUCUUAACUUUAUUGAGUUUUCAAGUAAAUCGAAAUGGAAGUUCCAAAAGGAUUUAUUGGUAUAAAUCAGAAUAUCUUAAAUGUGUCUGUUCAGAGCAGUAGGAUUUCUUUCUCUUUUAUUUCACAUGAAUAACACCUUACGAGAAAGCAAUACAUGAACACAGAUCUUAUAUUCGUGUUUUUUACAGCCUCCAGUGAGAAAGGGAGUCACUCACCUAAGCGAUGCUUAGGUGAUUCACUUAAGUGAUUCACUUAAUUCAGAUUCAGUGAUUCAGAUCAACCCAGCUCUCACUUAGUAUGUUGCUUCUUCAAAGAGAAAAGGCCCAGAUGAAGCUCAGUUAUUGUCAGAUUGCCUAUACAUCACUGUGUCAAUACAUCUGUGCCUGUCUUCAUGGAAGUUCGUUGCCAUCAACAGGACUGUGCCAUGACUACUGCACUCUGGAGUGCAGUUCAUCAGAACUUGAUAUCUUAGUUGUUUGAUUUAUCUUAAAGCAGGCCAUUCUGUAUGUUCACAAAUCUCUUUGAAAUGUUGCCACCCAUUUCAUCUGUCUGCUACUGAUGUUUCCCUUUUCAGUCUGUUUGACAGUCCUGGGACGUGCUCAGUAGCUUUCUGAGCGUAUUACUUAGUGAAAUUAUUAUUAAGAAAAGGAAAAGUAAUAGAAAAUAGAUUCCUUAACAGCUUUCCCCAUUUCACUAACUUCUUUAGCAGUUAUCUAAACUCUUACCUUGCUGACAAGCUUCAAGCAUGUCCUACUUUGCAAAAUAGCAUUUACUAAAAUAACCUUUAAUCAUGGUCAUGUUAGCCUAGAUUCCCAUCCUUGCUUUCGCCAGCUGCAUUUCACAUAAAGCCUUUUCAUUUUCUUGUUAGCAUCUCUGCCUGGAGGAUUCUUACUGUGAUCUUACUACUUACCAGUUGUGACACGACUGGUUCUCUGUCACACAGCUAAUUACAACUCAUGAGUUGAGACAUCUUUGAACAUAUCCUGACAACUGAAGAGAGAGACGCACAUUAGGCUGGGAUAAAAAUAAGUGUAAUAAUGGCAGAAGGAAUAUUACAAAGUAUGACAAAUCAUCAUGAGAUGGGAGCAGGAGUGUCAGGAUCUCACAGGAUUCAUGAGUUCUUAGCAUUUCUGUUGCUUUUUUUCAUUUCUAAUUGCUGUGGCUUAUUGAAAGGCAUCAGCUCUCAAAAAUAACUCAAGGGCAACUGGCAUUUUGGUUACCUCUUAUCAGCCUUUGUUUCACAAAGAGCCAUUGAAAGUGAAUCUUCAAAACCCUUUCUUUUCCUCCUCCUACAAAAAGAAAAACUUUGUUUUCAGAAACCUGUAGGAAACUUAUUUUGAAGUUUAGAUGCGAUUCUGUGUCUGUAUUUAUGUUGGCAGAAUAAUGCUGUAUUUGUGAAAGGAGUCCUUUCCAUUUACUUUACGUUCCUUCCAAUAGAUUACGUGAGUGUUGGCUGUUUUUAUCCUCUGCUUAGCACUGUGCUGCAUUGGAGUAAUACGGCAUGCAGUAAUGGUACUUUAGGGGUCAGGAGGGAUUGGUUUAUAAGGAAAGAUUAGAGGAGUUUAACAGUGUGAAUGAGGCUUUCAAAGAUACCUAGAGACAUUAAAUCAACAGUCCCAUCAAAAUAACAAGGCUUGAUGCAUAUCCUAAAGAGAGAAAACUCCUACCUGCGCUUGUUAAUGAUGUUCUACUCCACUAAAAAUGUGUGUCAUAUGCUUUUGUUAGCACAGCUUCUGUGUGAGAGGGAAAUGUUGCUUUCACCGUGCGUAAGAUGUCUAUAAGCAGAGGUCUCAACUGUGCAAACAGUCACUGUGGUGGGUUUUUCAUUAAUGUCAUGAGCAUGGACUCUGCGUCAUUAUUUCAUAUAAAGAUAUUUCUUUUGUUUUAAGUAGCUGCCAAGAACUGGUGAGCUCAGAGCAGGUAAAAGGAUCCUUCUGGAGAAUGUGACGACAUUCCUACAGAAUUCAAUAAAGGGCAUGUUCCUUUGCAAGGCCGUGGUAGAAAUGAAAUGCAGUUGUUGACUCAGAUAUCUAUGAGGCUUAUUCAGGAUGUUUUUUCAUGAAGUUAACAGGUCUAGGUUGAGGUGUAGCAGUGAAAGCUUGGAGUUUAGAGCAGGAACAAAGGGCUGUGCUGCAGGAGACUUAAUGUUUGCUGUCAUGGAAACCUGUUGCCUUGGAACAUGACUAAUGAGACCCAGGUUAAGGGAAAGGAAGAAGCUAUUCUUGAAAUUACUCUUCAGCAAACCCUCAUGAAGACCAGCAGUAUAUAUUACCAAAACUUACAGUUAUUUCAGGUUCUGUUGGCUGAUUCAUUUAACCUUGUCCUUUUGUUUACUUAGCGGCUCUAGUAGCCAGGAGUUUUAAUAAAAAGAAUGCUAUAAAAUAGUUCAAAGCUCAUCUCUAGACCUUCUAGAAGUAACUACCUUCUUACUUACAUUUACAUUACUUCUUUCCUAGUAUGCUAUGGUAUUUAUUCAAAUUCUGUGGAAGGGCCAUGCUGAAAACAAACUGGCAGAUGUGGGGUGCUACAACAUGCUGGGAGUAGCUCAGGUAUGUGAGCGAGGGUACAUAUUUUGUGUACAUAUUCCUAUGGAAAAAGCUGGAGGGGCACCUUAAAGUUUACUUUCUCUUUGUGUUACCUCCCUUUCAAGUUCUGCUGAGAAUUCUCUUCUUGAGCUCCUUGCUCCAAAAGCAGUGCGUAUCAUUACACAGCAGAUUCUGUAAGAGAGAGCAGAAAUACAAAAGUCUUCUGAGUGCUGAAGUUUUUCCCCCUGCAAAGGUGAAUUUUUUUGUGUCUGAUUAGGAGACCUAAUUGUGCAAAGCAAUGCAGGUGUUGGAAUCCGUAGGCACACAGUGACAAAUUGUUAUGGCUCACCACGGUUCUCAGCUGCUCUCUGGACCUGAAUCUUGCAUGAAUAAAUUGCCAGCAGCUGUGUGAGCCUCAUUGCCUUACAGAGAUCGUGCUUCAGGGUCCUCUGGAAGCUGACGGUGAGAAGCUAGCCUUCGCUGAGCAGAGCCGAUAAUGGCAAAUCAGAGGGGGACAGCUUUAAAGAAGUUUCAGGUGAAAUAAUGUUUUUUCUUUAUUUCUUAGUGGACUUGGGGUGAGCUGGAGGACUGUACUGAAAGAACAGUCUGACCAAGUGGCAAGAAAGGAAUAUUCUGCAAAAAAACAACAAAGAUGGGAGUUGGCUGGGUUUGCAAGGUAGCAGCUGCAUUUGGGGUGAAAGAGGAUAUUUUUCUGGUGUGUACUGUCAGUGAUAAGGUGGUCCUUGUCCUCAGAGACUCGCUUGGGUGGUCAGUUUCUGUUUGGCAGGAUUAACACAAAUUGGUAAUGUUCUGCUGGCAAAAAAGGGACUGCAGAGGGCAAUGAAAUAUUACAUUUAAAAUAACUUCUAAUAAUGAAAUGCUGAUUCAUUCUGACAUCCCAAUCAGGUUCAUGUGGGGAAAACCCCAACGUUUAACAUGACAGUUCUGUCUGAAAUGAUGAUGUAAAUAAUCAGUGUGUCAAAAGUGUUAUGUAGGAAUGUAUACUCUAAUAUUCAUGUUUAAACCUGGCAUAAAAGUGGCAAGACUGGACCCUAGAAGUCAUCUUGUUCAUCCUUCGGUCCCAGGCAGGAUCAGCUGCCCUUCAGCUGUAUCUGGGUGAUAUUUUUCUGACUUCUCCCAGUCAGCCUGUGGCGGAGAUCCUAAAGUGUUCCUGGACAUCUAUCUGUCCAGGAGCUGAACCUCCUGCCAGAGGGAACCCUUCCCAAUGCCCCCCGCAGCUCCCUUUCCUGUGAGGUGAGCCCAGCACUUGUGAUAGCAAGCACAGACAGAGAUCUUACUGCAUUUCUCUGUGCAGCACCCUUUGAAAGGACUUUCAAGUCCUACCUGCAGCUUCCAGGUAACACUUACAGGUCCACGAGGUGGGUGGGCAGCUGUGCCUUCAGGGUGGGGUACCAGGUGUUUUUAACCUCCACUCCCAUGUGUGAGCCAUAUCCAGCUGUGGCUCAUGUUUUUUUUGUCAGAAAAUUGAAGUAGGAACUGCGCUGAUGAGAAGUGAAUGUUAGCUGGGGCCCAAGGGUGACAUUAUGAGGUGUUUGCAAACUUCAGGCCCGCUAGGACUUCCUUUGCUAAAGCAAUUCUAGGAGGAUGCACAGCAGAAGAGAUGACAGUGAUUGUGGAGUGCUCUGCUGCCUGGGCUUCAAACAGGCACCCACAGGCCAGUUUUGUUGUGAACUUUCUAAAGUAAUGUAAAAAUAGUAUUGAUCUUUAUUUAUUGCUGAUUUAUUUGUAUAGUUCUAUGCAGAAGAGUGUUGGGUGGUCUGUUCUGAUAGCUGUCUGUAAUGCUGCCUUUCAUAGAAUCAUCAUAAAAUAGUUUGAGUUAGAAGGGACCUUUAAUUAAGGACCAUCUGGUCCAACUCCCCUGCUCUGAACAGGGACACCCACAGCUCCAUCGGGUGCUCAGAGCCCCAUCCAGCCUGACCUUGGAUGUGUCCAGGGGUGGAGCAUCCACCACCUCCCUGGGCAGCCUGUGCUGGUGCUUCACCACCUUUAUUUAAAAAAAAAAAAACUUCUUCCUUAUAUGCAGUCUAAAUCUCCUCUUUUAGUUUGAAGCCAUUUCCCUUUGUCCUAUCGCAACCAAACCUGCUACAGUGUGUGUCCCCUUCCUUCUUACAGCCCCCCUUUAGGCACUGACAGGCCGCUCUCAGGUGUCCCUGGAGCACUCUGUUCUCCAAGCUGCACGGCCCCAGCUUUCAGCCUGUCCUUACAGGGGAGGUGUUCCGUCCCUUUCCUGCACUCCCUGAUCAUUCAGCCUGUUUGCUCUGCAUGUGCCUGGUCAGUUGCUGCGUUCAUCCUCAGGCUUUCGUGCCAGCAAGUGGGGAAAAGUGCAGGAGGGAGCAGGGUUGUACUGGGGCAGCGUUCCCCAGCCCUGGUAUUGCAUGGGCUCUGUGUGUGUGAGCCCUAACAGCACCUGUGGGGAAGGGAUUUGGUGAGAGCAGAGUUCUGGCUCACAGCAGCACGCUGGGGAUCUUGGCAUUGUUAGCUGUGAGCAGUGCUGCCCUGCAGCAGCCAGGAGCUGAGCUGUGUGUCUGCUGCCCGCUGCAGGCUGUGUGUGCUCCUGGUCAGGCAUGCAACUGCAGCCUGCACUCGGCCCUGGGCGCAGAGCUAGCACAGUGCCCUUAUCGGGUGGCGGUGGAGAGCAUUACUUGGGCAGCUUCAAGGACAUCUGGGUGUUCUUUGAGCACCUGGGCACAGGCCCAGCCCUGCUGGGUAUGUUCCUGGAAGCACUGUCAGGUUCUAAGUGGGAGGCGUAACGCUGUUGGUUUUGUUUUGACUUGGGAUCUCAUGCACCAGCGUGCACGAGGAGGUAUGCUUGAUGAGCAGGCUGUGUUGAACCAAAAACAAAAGUUGACCAUGGGAGGGAGCAGUCUGUGAGCACAGUGCUUCACGCAAAGCAGCAGAGAUGACCCCUGGCCAAACAGCGUGUGCUUGGGAGGAAGCUCAGGCUGUUAUGUUGAUACCUUUUUUUAUCUUUUUAAUGAAACCUCCUUCCUGCCAUUUCAGAGGAGUGGAGGGUUUGACGUCAUGUGCUGAUGAGUCACUGCUUUUAACAGGCCAGCAAGCAGGGACUGAGAGAGCUGUCUGGAGCAGCUGCUCUGUUAAUCAUUCACAAAAAGCCCAGAGAAAGCUCAGGGGGAAUGCUUGUGAAUAAUUAAAUUUCUGUUUUCAUUAUGAAGACUCAGUUGAUUUACCUGGAUCUGCUAGAAUCCAGGUAUUGAAACCCGAUGAUCAUUGUGGUCCUUUUCAACCCAGGCCAUUCUAUGAUUCUAUUGGAGAGCAAGAGGGGAGGACAGUAAUCUCACUGAUGUGUUGAUAUCCUUGUAAAUAGCCUUUGGAGUCCUCAGUGUCAGUCAGGCAUGUCGAUGAUUUAACAAUUUCAUGCAAAGCUUAUGUAAUACAGCUCUCAUCACCAGCUACUCUGUGUCUAUCUCUACAAGGCAGGAUAUGUAUUUUGCUGAAAGACUGAAGGUCUGCCAUAUCUCAUAGCCUGAUGCUAUCCACCAUAUGCAUUCUCGAAGGAAGCAGAGCUGCCCAGGUUUGUUCACCAAUGCUUCUGCUCAUUUAUGUCUUUCUUCAGGGGGUUGUUUGGGAGGCAGUGGUCCAUCAUUUCAAGUUAAUGCUGACUGAGUAUCUUGGAAAGAUGCGUUGUACUCAUCAUUGCUAUGAUGAGCUUAAACUUCGGUUGCCGACAUGCAGUGAUCAGAGAGUUUAUUAGGUUCAGCUUCAGAAGAGUAGGACUUACCUCCACUAGGGUCCAGACUGGAUACAUUCCUGUGUGGUGAAUUAUUCACUGGUCAGCUUCUCUCUAUUGUUCAAGUGCCUUAGGCAAUAGUUGCUGUCUUUUACCCAGGGAUAGAGUUAGAUGAGCACUUUUACUCCCAAAUUAAUCCCAUUACCGAAGUGCACAGUAAAACCAGGAACACAGAAUGUUAGAUUAACUUCACCUACACAGUAGGACUGCUGGGGCAGUUAGGGCAGUGAGGUUGCUUGUGGAUAUUUUCUUCAAUCACCUACAAGGAUGUGAGUGGAAAGUUGCUAUUCUGGCUGACACUGGAAGAAUGGAAAAAGAAGUAUACUAAGAAACCACUUGAGACUGAAAAACCUUUCUGCCUUUGGGCAUUGUUUUCGUGGAUUUAUGAUAUCCCACUGAUGUGUGGGCAGAGGCUAUUUUCAAGCUUCUAUUCAUUUUAAGCUCUGGAAAAACUUAAAUACUGAAGGCUAUAUUUCUAAUAGAUUAAUGAUGUUAUAUCUAGCUUUAUGAAUAACCAGAGAUGUUAUGAGAUUCAAAGCACCGCAAGCCAGUGAGUCUGGGACGUGGGAUAGAGCCCCGCUUGAAUAUCACAGCUUAAGGUGGUUAUUUAUGCUAGCAGGGGAAAAUGUAUCAGCAAAUCAAAUCUUGCUUGUGGAUGGAGCGCAUUUUGUAUAGAGUGCAAUAAUAAUGAAAGUCAUCUUUCAGAGCAAAGUUGGUAUUGAAAUGCUGAGGAGCACUGAAAAUAGAAGAAAUCAAACAGGAACUUUUGAAGCGUGGGAAUAAAACGAAAUCAAAAGGAGAAAAUCAGUUAAAAUCUGGAAAGAACACAGGUUCUGAGGCCUCGUGUCAAAUGUUGUGUGGCAGUUGACUCUACAAAAGAUGCUUUUUUGAUUUGCUUAUUAAAGGGACCUACUGAAGAGUCAUUGUUCCCUGAGAAAUCAGAUGUGUUGCAUAGUUAAACAUCAUAUUAAAAAGUGAAAGUAUCUCUGUAAGAUGUAGAGGCAAGAAAGCAAUAAAGCCUGAAGAGGUUAUUAAAAGCCUCCCAGAGAAAUUGUCCGUGUGAGAUAUAUUACAAAACUGAGCAGCAGUUAGCAACAGGAGACACUGAAGCCUGAGUCUCUGUGAUGCUGAGCUCCUCGGAGGCCUCUCUGUGUGGAUGAAGGCACCUGAAGGCUUUGCUCUGGCAUUUCUAGGCUGGAAGCAUUCUCUCUGCAAAGGGCAGGCGGGUUUACAAACAAGCUUGAAAACUUUCUCCUGACACAUUUUUCUCUCCUAAUUACAAAGCAAGUACAGUUUAUUUUCAAAAUGACCGAUUCAGCCAGCCAUUUAAUUCCUUGCUCUCUGUAUCCAGCAAAAAAAUCCAGUUUGUCUGGAAAAGUAAUAAUUGGAGAACAACGAGCAUGGUUAGCAUGCUCCAUCAUUGGGGUGCAAGCCUCCCUGCUGCAGCUCUGCUCAGCAGUCAGAAUAGGUGCUGCAGGAAAAAGCACAGUGCCUGUUGGUCAGCUCAUGGCUGCCUCACUUGUGGCCUCUAAGUUUUUGCCUAGGAGAGCUUGUCCAGACUCCUCGAACCUCUUGCCUCUCCAAAGCUGCAGUUAAUGCCUUUCUUGCACAGCAAACCUUUAGGGGUUCUUGUAACACCAUAGUUUAUUGGGUUAUAUUUGUCAUUAAUAACUGACUGAGUACUCAAAGGUUGCAUCGUGACAUUUCUAUUCUUUGUUUCAUCCAUAAGAACUGUUUCAUAAGAUAAUUUAAACAAGGUAAAAACUUUGAACAGAUGCUUCUCCAAUAGCUUAGGAUUUCUUCUGAGGCCAGGACUGAGUUUCUUUUCCAGCAUCCAUCCUCGGUGUGACACCACCCCACAUGAUUUACAAAGAGCUAUAUGUCAUGUGUCAGCCAAGACAUCAGAUGACUCCAACGUGCCAGCUGUGAGCUAGCAUCACAGGUAAGGCACCAAAGGCCUGGCCUUGGUGCAAUUGCUGCCUAAUCUUUGUUUCCCAAAAGCGGCUCAGAGGCAUCCCCAGAGUCAGUCAUGGCUCGAGCCAUGUCUCUGUGCCCAUGAAGAUGGGGCACCCUGUUGCAGAGCAUGGGCUGAUGUGUGCAAUGCUGGUGCAGGGCUGGUGCUGGCCGGGGCAGCAGGGGCUCUUGGCCAGCGGUGGCAGUGUGGCUGUGAUCCUGCUCCCAGCCCUGUGCCAGGAGUCUAGUCACUGUGGAGCAUGCCUUGAGCAUUUAACAAGACUAAAAUUAGCUUUUCUGAGCACCCCCUGCUUUGUCAGCCUGAUCCUUGCGUGCCGCAAGCGCUGCUUCUCUAUGCUUUAUUACAGGAACUCUGCAUGUUCCCAUGAAGCUGUUCUGCAUUUUGAGAGUGCGAUAUUGUGUCUCCGAAGGGAGGCAAGGACGUGUCUGCCUUUUAGCUUCAAGCCUCCUGGAAAACAAGGUCAACCUGAUUGUUUUUAGAACAGAUGGCUUCCUUCCAUGUAGUGGCAUUUCCCUGGCUAAGUGGAGUCUGGCUAUACAUAAAUAUCAAAUGCAGCUAUAUGUAGAUUUAUGAGAAUACUAGAAAAUUACAAGGUUAGGAGAAUUCAGAGCUGCUGAAAAACAUGACCGUAUGUAUAUUUCCAGUCAGCACUUUAAAUAACUACUUUUCUUUGUCUCCGAUAGGCAUCUUUAAACUAAGCUAACCUAGCAGAUGACAGGUUAUCCCAGUCCCUCCUGGGAGAGGAUUUCAGUGGAAGAUGGCUGGAAGCAACUGCACGAGAAGAGCUUGAUAUAUUCUGAGCUGUGUCCCCCAGUGGAGGCAGGUUUCUGAGGCAAUGUGAGCUCAAACACAUCUAAUCUGGAUACUACAACAAGAGAAUGGCUGUGGUGCAUGGGUAAUGAGACUAGAAAGAAUGCAGGUGGAUUAAUUGGACACAAAGAUUAAUUUGCUGUUCCUGAGUAGCCGCAUACUGCUGUCAGUUUUGCUUGAUACUUUUCAAAGAAUUUAUAGCCUUGGCUUGUGCUGUGUUUAGUGGCUGUAAUAGGAAAUGAUGGUGCCCCAAAUGCACGUCUCUCUGUAUUACAACAACACGCUCGCAGAGAAGUAGGGAGUGACCCACAUGCCUUAUGCAGGAGAGGGUUGUUUCAGAUUUGUUUUGUUUGUCAGGAUAUUUUCAUGCUUUUCCACGUCCCAUAGAAAUAAUUCAGGUUGUAUUAAUCAGUUAUUUCAAAUAAUAUUAUGCAGGAGAGAGGAAGACUGUUUGACCUUUGGAGGCCCGUUCCUUUGCUAUUUUCUGUAAGAAUGUGGGUUGCAUCAGCUGGGACUGUGAUUGAUGGAAGCUACUUGCCUUUCUGUGUAAUGGAGAGAAACAGUAGCCCUGGUACGCUGUGGGGAGCCCUGUCUCUGCAGGGCUGGAGUCCAGAGCCCUUCCCUCCAGCUUUAUUUCAUUAACUCCUUUCAGAGAAUGCAGCAGGAGCAUAAUCCAAUCACUCCGGCGUUAGGAGGAACUGGCGCAGGGUAGGACGCUCCAGCUCAGUAAGGAGAGAUGCUGCUCUGUGACUCAUUUCCUGCAGCCAGUCACUGAGUCACUGCCCGCAUUUAUUGCUAAGAACUAAGUGAAAGCUUCUGAAUGGAUUCCUGGGUUGCUGGUGUUCUAUCGAACUUCAGAUACAGAAGCAGGCACUUAAAGAUAUGGGGGGGUGUUGCCUCCUCCAAACCCACGAGCUAUGUUGAAAUAGGUAGAGAUAUAGCAGCUAGCUUAACAGUGUGCAGGUUUUCUUUGGCCUGCAGGUCACAGCUAAACAAAAAAGGACAGAAACACAAAUACAUGUACUUCAGAGGGGUUUAAAUACGAGCUAGAGGUGACAUUCUGUUCACAGCUUGGACUUGUUAAUUGAGUUCACUAGCAAUUAGAGAAUUUGCUGAAACAAUUUGUUCAAGGAUUUUUUCUUUCUUUUUUUUUUCAAUCCUAGACUCUUUUAUCUAUAACCUUUAUUAGUAUUAAAGUCAUCUCAUUUGAAGAAGUAUAGGUUUUUUUGUUUUGGGAUGAAAACUGAUUGGACUCAAUAAACCCCUGCAUUCUGAUCAAAAUGGCUCCUUUGUUUAAAGCCAUUCAUAAAUCCCAGGGAACAAAUACCAAAAUAAGGUAUGACAAGACUAAAGUGAGGCUAGAUGCAUCAUUUAUUUUUCAAUAACUUUAGGAUAGCCAACCUCAAAAUAUUGUAUAUUUUCAUCCUUUUUCUUGUGAAUUUGUAGUCUAAUGUCAUCAUUUUAUAGUGAUGCAAUAUGAUGUCAUAUCCCUUCACUCAAGUAUAGUAUUAUGUCAAAAGAUUCGCUUAGAUCAACCUGCCAGAAGGCAAACAUUGUGCACAGACCUACUUUUAUGUAGGCAUCCUUUCUGCUUAAAGUGGAAGUAAUCCUGGUCAUGAGAGGUGUUGGCCACGUACCUGGCGGUAUUCAUCAGCCCACCCAUUAGAGCAAAAUAGUUUCUUUUGACUUUCUUGAGAUCUAGUAAACAUUCAGAGUGACCAAAGAUCACCACUCCAGAGUAGCGGGCCUGCUCUGUUGGCCAAGUUGAUGAAAAAAAAUCAUAAAUAGAAUAUAGGACCUACUUUGGGUCCGAUCAUCCCACAGUUCUUGCACGGUGAAUUCAGCCAGUGCUCCCCGUGGGGUCAGCAGUGACCCACCAUUCCUGGGCUGAAUCUUGGGCUACUUGUGGUCUAGCCUUGCAUGGCAGUGCUUGGUGCUAUGGCAGAAAGCGUCAGGACUGCCUUGCUCUGUUCUGGAUACCUUAGCAGGGAGAAGGAUCUGGAGCAGAGCUGGUGGCUUCAUGGUCUUGUGCUUCUGGUGCUUGUGUUUGUGCUCCUGCACAGCUGAGAUGUGUGGCCAUCACAGCAGCCAGGAGCUCAGUCAGUUCAUACAUCCUCCUCUGUACGAAACAUGCAGACCAGAAUAUUUAAUACCCUAAGUAGGCCAUUAUGUGAGACAGCUAAGAAAUUAGGGGAAAGCAAAGGAAAACCUGGCUCCAGAAAAUCUGAUUAGUAGCCUUUUUUUCUUUUUUUGCUGGAAAGUGCUGGCAGCAGAAAUAUUUUGAUUUUGUUGAUUCACAGAGAUUAGCUGACACUAAACAACCAAAGCUGAGCGGGGACUGACGUGUGUGUCUGAUCUCCAUGUGCUCUGUCUGAAACAGUCUUGAUUUUUUUCCUGUGUGAGUUUCAGUGUUUUUGCAGAGGCAAGUCCCUGAAACUUCACUUCCCAAGGAACUCCUGAGUGGUUUUUUUGGAUUUGCUCAUUAUAGAGUGCAUCCUUCAUUCCCAGUUUGGAUGCUUAUGAAGAACGUAUGGUUAGAUAAUUGGAGAGAACUGAGAUUGGUUAACUGAUGUGUUACCAGCCCUCAGUAAAACCCAUUGUGGCUGAUGCACUCUUACUGUAGUUUGGCUUGUCUUUCCUGUGCAGCUGCUUGCAGCUGUCUGUUCCCUCCUUAUGGCUGCCCUUCCUGAGGACAAGGGACCAGCUCUGAAGCCUGAAAGUAGCUUCUGAAUUUCUGCACUCUUAAAUUUGCUUUUAGUGGUUGUAUUUGGGACAUGUUAUUGAAGUAAAUUCCUAGUAGGAUACUGAAUGUUGCUGAAUGCUGGGGUUUCUUUCUUUUCUUUGAGCUAUGCUUUAAUUAGUCCUCUUUUUCAUCGUUUAAAUCAUAUUAAGAUACAAUGAAUCAAUGUUUAUUUUGGAAGAGAAGAUUAAAUCUAUCGAAGCAAUUAGAAAACUAGAGGCUUUUCUAAGCUGGUGAGCAGCUGGGUAGGGGGGGUGCGGUGGAGAGAAGGGUGUUGCUGUUGCUGCAGACAAGUUUUUAGAAAACUCUCUGGGUAGGAUGCAGAGAGGUUGUAUCAUUGCCACAGCUCUCCCCGACAAAACAUGCCAUAGAAGCAGAAUCCCGUUGCUUAGCGACUUACAGGAGAUGAUUAACCCUUUGCAGCACGGACAGUAUUUGCUGAGAAGCCCCCUUGAGGCAUUGUUGUGGGCAGUAACUGAAUAUGAAGAAGCUACUUUACUAUCUUUUGCUCCCACCUGUGUUGAUUCAUUCGUCAUUAAUAUUAAAUGAAGAACAGUUUUAAUGUUGCCACUACUUACUGAAGGAGAUGACUUAAUAAAACGUCAUUCUCCUAUAGGAUGAUGUGCAAUUAUCGCAAAGGUGGGAUCAUACAGUGACAGUAAAGAUGGAGUCAAAAGUGACUAAAAAUAAUCUGAGGUUAUGCUAUUUAACAGUACUGCCAGUAUUUUCUCAUAUGACCUCAAGCAUUUCUAGAAUUUCUGCUUGGCUUAAAGACUGACUCUGUCUUGAUAUUGCCCAUGCACAGGGAGCCUUAAAGCAGAGAGUGGUAGCAACAGUAUGUAGGGAAGUGCCUCACCUCUCAUCUCCUUCCGGUACAACAGGGAAAUUCUGAAGACCAUUUCAGGCUAAAAACUCCUUUUAACUGAAAAAUGGUACUAAUCUCUGAGGUUGAUGGGCUGCAAAAGUUCUAUUUCCUUCUUUGAAGAGGGCCUAGAAUUCAGUAAGAGUGGGUAAGCAGGAAUGUGUGGGUGUGGUUGUGCGCUGCGGUGCAGAAGUUUUCUAUGCGUUGUCACUAAGAUGUUCCAGCACUUGAGUCAAUAACUCCUUCAGAUAUGAUCACUUGGGACAGUAUUCAUCUCAUCCAGCUUGAGCUGUCUUAGAAAUGAAGCGUGGAGUGUAGACAUCUACAGGCAGAGCGAAGGGAGCAGUUACACUGGGUAAUUCAUUACGUCUCUUUUAAGCACAUCCUGGGGUGGGGUGGGCUGGGCUGCCCUGGUUUGCCCCUUUGGAAAGCAAUGUAGAAAGACCAGUUUGUGCUGUGGCCUAUGGGGAGCGCUGGGUGAGAGGAACACAAGCCUGUGAUUUUAGCAGCAUCUUGUGAGGCAUUAUUUCCGCAAGGAUGAUUUUCUACUGUUCAGUAUGCUGCUUAAUAACAGUGAAAGUGAAACAGGGUUUUCAACAGCAGCUGUGGAAAAACACUCAUCUGGGAACAAAGGUUAAGGCACAGACAGAGGAUUUUAAAUUGCAAAGGCCUCCCUUUGUGAAAUUAGCUAGUAAUAAAGUCAAGAAUUGCCCUGAAGCAAGAAACGCUCUGAGUUUCACCUCUCCCCCUUGUAAUUUUGCAGCCGCAGCAAUUAAUUUCUGUAACUACUGGCCCCAGUUCUGGUAGCUGCAGAGUAGAUUGGGGCUGUUGGCUGCUGAGAACAUUUGCUGCAUACACAUUACACAUAUACGUGAUUGAUGGACUUUGUGCAUCAUCAUCCCCAGCACCUUUGUGUAUUUGCUGCCAUUAAUGGAGAAAAUUAUCUUAGCUAGAAACAAUUUGUAUUUGAUAGCAUGAAGAUUGCGUGCUCCUCCUGUUUGCUGAAGGGUUAACUGUGACCCUAACAGAGAUGUAGAAUCAAUCCAGACGACAAAUUGCUGUGAGCACAACCUUUCCUGUUGCAUAUCUGAAUGCCAUCCCUGUGUUUGUCUGUCUUCGGUCAGUAUGAUUUUGGAUGGUCCUAGGAGGGCAAACACAGGAACUGAUGGAGAGCUUGUUAUCUUGUUUCACAAAUGUGUUCACCUGAUGCAUUUAAGGCUUUCAGCUCCAGAAGGCAGCCAGUGUGACAAACAAGCCGUGUGCAGGCCACUUGCUGUUUUGCACUGCAUCUUUUCUUAUGAAUCUCUGUGCCACUGCAAGAUCUCUAGCGAGAUUAACACUGUAACAGAGGCACAAACGAAUGCAGAUAGUUCUGAGUUGUUAGCCAGAUUGUUUGCUGCUGUUUUGAACAUACUCUCUUAACUCACCAGCAGCAAAAGGAAACUUCUACCUCUGUUGUCUGAGCUGUUUUCCUUUAGCUACUGCGGAUAGGGAGACAUAGCUUGCAAAUUGGGAUGUUGUGGCAUUUCACUAGAAUGGAUGGAUUCAGCCUGUCUGAAAUGCAAUUUCUCUUGGAGCCUAUCAGGAGAAAAUACCCAUUUAUCUUCCCUUUGUGCUAGUUGCUCUGUCACACAGAGGGACAGAAUGCAUUAUUAGCCCAGCCCUGUACCACUCCUUGCAUAAGUCAGUCAUGUGAGUUGCAGUGCUUUGGUUAUGAGCUGGUAAUCCUAGGCUCAUGCAUGGAGCUUUGUUUUAGGGCAGAGAAGAGCCAGGGGGAGUGUGAAAUAAAUGCGUAUGUGCAAAAAGGCCAACAGCUUGUUUGUUCUGGAGGAGAGACAAGAGUUAAAGUAUGAUUCCUGGGGAUUAGGAGGGGAAGGGACGCAGUGCCCCGCGCCCUCUGGUGAGAGAACAGCACCUGCAGCCCCACUCCUCUCUCUCCCUCUCUCCCCAGUCACUGAGACUGAAAAUAGGAUCACCAACUGGUGGCUGUGCUGGGAGGUAGGAGGCAUUCAGACCCUGUGCUUGUACUUGGCUAGGAUCUCAAGUUGUGUUUUCUUAUGUGUGUUUGUAUGGGUGGGUUUUCACGGGUUUUCAUAGAGUUGAGGUCCCGGGACUUAAGUUUUGAAGGGAAGCAAACUCAAGAGGGCAUUUUUGUGGUCAGUUGAACUGUCAGAAAGUAAUAUGAGCAGUUGAGACUUGUUGCUACUGGGGAAAUACUUGGGAUGUUUUGUACCUGCCUGACUCAGAUUUAGUAAGCAGCUGAAGGCUUCCUGAUUUUUGUGGUUAUCGUCUCUGCAGGAGAAUGUGAACUUCUGCAAGGUUGCAACAUACUUUGUUCUAAAACACAGCGUAAGUGAUGCAUCCUGGGAGCUAUAUGGGUCUCAAGGUGCUCUGAAGGCUGAGAUGCUGUGUGCCAGAGGAGGCUUGGAGCAGCCUUGGUGCCUCAGGCUUGGAGUCUAUGAAGCUGGAGCCAUUUGUCAUGUGCUGGCCUCUCCCCUCCUGCAUGGGAGGAGAGGUAUAGGGCAGAGGAAGCUGAAGUGCCCUGACAGGACCUGCCCUACCUCCAUAGGGCCCAGGCCAGUUGGGUCUGAGUCAGCUCUGUGCUGGCCCUGCACCAGAUCUGCUUGUUGGCAAACAUGUCUGCACCUGCCAACAGGAUCGAGUUCACUAAUUCCCAAUUUAGGGGUAAAAGUGCAGAUAUUCUUCAGGUCCAGGGGUGCUUCAGCCAUCUGAAUUAUGAAUAAAUACCGAACGCAUUAAAUUCUAGUCACGAGAAAGGGGAAAUAAUAGUCAACUAAUCAAGAAAUUAUUGAUUGAUUUUUUUUUUAAUUGUUCUUUGUUAAUUUGUAGCUAUCUCUUGCCAUGCUUGAAUACACUUGCAAACACAAAAUAUGAGACAGGCAAUAAGGAGUGACUGAACUCAUUUUCACAUUCUUUAAUUGCAGCAGAAAGUAGUCUGUCAACCAUAUCUGAUGUGGAUGGUCUGCAUGCCCAAGUGUUGAUCAGGAGGGAUGGAUAUGCGAUUCCAGUAAAGAAGCCUCCUAGUCUUAAAUGCUUAACCCUGUGAUGGGAGUAGAAACUUCACUCUUCGACAGAGAAGGAAACGAGGCACUGGGAGGCCUACUGAAGAAGUCCCUCACAGAAAUCCGCAGCAGACUGAGGAAGACAUGUUUGUGGUUGCCCUGCUAACGCACCUCGCAGCCUUGCUCUCAGAUUUGCUAUUUGAACUUGCACGUAAGUUAUCCCUCAUGCUGGAAGCAUGGCUGUUACUAGGAAUGUGCCCCAUGUCCAACCAAAAGACAACAAAUUCUAGAAAGAGAAAACCCAUGACUUUGGAUGAAUAUGCACUAGUGGUGGAGUGAUGUCUUUUCCACCCAGUUACAGAUACCUCUGGGUACCUGUGCAGACUGCAGCCAGCAUGAUGACUUGACAGACUGCUUCUCUGCUCUCCCAGCAGCACAAAGCAGAGCAGAGCCUGGAGUCCUAUCUUAAUUUCACUUAAGAAAUAGCAAAUGGUCGCUGUGUCUGUAAAUCUCCAUCAACCUUUUUAUUUUCAGUCACUGGAUAAACGUGUUGGUGUAUUUUGUUUUAUAGAGGAGAACCUACUUCCUGUCUAGGGUCUUCUUGCAGGCUGUCAAGUUCUAGCAGAGAUCAAAGAAAGGCAACUCUUUGGCAGCUCAGUUUCUUUCUGCUGGCGUAGAGAUUACAUUGAAGGGGUAGUCAGGUAGUCAUAGAUGUUAAAGACUGUUGGCCCCUGCGCUGCUUAGUUUCUUCAAAGUCUCCGUGUGAGGCCCUUGGCUAGAAGAUGAGUGAGUGCUGAUUGAGAACAACCCAGCUUUUUGUCUUAACACAUUAAAAAGCAUAUGCUGUUUCUUCACCUAGGUAUUUCAAGGUCCCUAUAGACUUCGAUGGUAUUGAAGUACAGAGGCUGGAGACAGUGUUUUGCAACCAUUACUCAGAGAAUUAGGUAACUUUUUAUGGACACUGAAGCCAGCUCCAUUAAUAAGGCUUACCUAUCUGUUUCUGACAAAUUCCUGGUGAUGGUAGUAGAGGCAGUAGUUGAUAGUUAUGAUUCUGUCUAAAAACUAAUUCUUAUUGUAUCAAGAGGUACACUGUGGGAUGAUGUUAUAGUAUUUCCUAGAACACAAUUCCAAGAAAGUACAUAUGUAACAAAUGCUAAAUAAUGAUGAGGGGAUUCUAUCAGCCAAUUAAAUAUAUAAUUGUCAUUGAGAAAGAUCAGAGUCCCAAGGAUUCCCAAGGAAUUCAUGACUGAAUUUGAUAGUAGACAAAGAUGGCCACUGAAAGUAAAAGUCUGCCAGAUACAGAUAUUCAAUGCUCUUAUUGUGAUCUGGAUCACCUAACUCAGUCUGAUGAACGUUACCGGUAUUUUUGAAGUGCUUUUUGACCCACAUGUGAUCUGAUCAUCCAUUUUCAGAAGCAUGUGAUAGCAAAGUGUGCAUCUUAAGAUGUUGCAGAGGGCUUUAUGUCCCGGGGUCGUGGCUAUAGCUCACAGCCUGGAGCACAGAUAAUACCCAGUAAUGAGGCAGUGCAAUGUCAGAUACAGUGGGGUGGGUUAUUUGUAGCAAACAACUGAUUCAGUUUCUUUCCUUCAGUCCCUGAAUGAUAUACUAUGAGGUUUUGACUGACAGAGAUCUGCGUGUGUGAAAUGACAAUUAUUGUUUUAUGUAAAUGGGUUUCAUGCUCUGGAUUGCCUAUAAGCAAUUCAGGGAAAUUAUUUCUCAUUAUUUGCCAUUUCAGCUGAGUGACAGGCCUUGCAAGCCACGGAGCAUUGAGUCUGAUUCCUGAAUGAAUAGCUUCCAGACUCACAUGGAGCACACAAGAUGGUCUUUUAGUAGGGCUCUGUAGGCAUGUUCUCCACACAAGCCCUGAUGAAAACGUGUUUCUCCUGCUUACCACUUCUGCACUGUGUUCUUGUUGGUGUUUGUUUAUCACUCGCAAGGAAUGGGAGUGUUGCCUAGUCUGUGGGCAGACAGUUGUUUGUCUGCAGACAGAGCAUUGUGAGUCUUCUUGGCAGCAUGCCCCUGCCUGUAGGUGUGGGACCCACCGGUACCGAACCGGGCCGUGGAUGCUGCGCUGUCCGUGGUGCUGCUGCGCCGGGGGAGCGACCAGCGUUGUUCGGAGGGUGCUGCUUCAGAGAGGGGUGUGCAAGAGGGUAAUUUGUUUGUGGCAGUUGUAGCUCUAAAUAGGAAAUGAUUAAUAUUUCAUGAUUAUUUUUCUGUAAGGCGUGAUUCUUUGGAGAAUGCAUCAGUCUGGCUUGCUUAGAGAAUUAUUAGAGAAUGAUCCUGCCUUACUUAGCUUCAAAUCAAAAUGUAGUCAGGCAGUGCAUGCAAAUAUCCUUAUAUUAAAUGAGAACUCUCUGGCUGACUAAUGCUCUGCUGCCAAUACGUCAGUAUAAGAGCGAGAGCUUAACUUUAAAAAUUUCUGUUUCAAUCUCCAGUCUUACAAGUUAUCUGUCUUUUUUUUUUCUUUCCAUUUGUGGUGUGGACCUUUUGAUCUAGGUUUUACAAAUUCUGCUGUGAGAUCAUGAAUGUUAACCAAUCACAUAUAUUGCAGCAUCUUUGAUUCUGAUGGAAGUUGUUCUCUUUUUUCUUAUUUAUUUUUUACUUUUCUUGAGUCAUGAGUAAGCCUCCUUAAAAUACGAGGGCUGUUCGGAAAGCAAUACCUCUUAUUUUAAUGUCAGCCUAUGACAUUGGAAGCAGAUGGUGGUGGUAUGGCAGUAGCGGCUGAACCUUUCUGCCAGUAUUCCAUUACAUUUUGUUGCUGUGUGACAGAUGGCAGCAGAGGGGCAGUUUGACAAAAUGGUGUCUGACAUGGAAGUGCAUAUGAGGCAAGGGGUUUCAUUGAGGCAGUGGGUGGUACGUUUCAGCAGUGGUGAAAGCAGAUCACCUCCACUGGUACAAAUUUUGAUGGGCAUGAGAUGCAGGUGAACAUGCUGAACUAAUGCUGGUGAUUAUGUUGAAAAAAAAAGUAGAUGGGAAUUUUCUCUAUCAAAUAGUGUUAUUGUGCUCUUUGUAUCCAUUGUAGUUUCCACGGAAAUGAAUAGGUGGAAUUACUUACAGUGUGACCUAUGUAUUUCAGGAUAGUUUUUAAGAAAGACUUAUGCCAUAUUGUAGCAGGAAGCUGUUAUAUGCCAUCAAUCAGCAUGGAAGCAAAAGUGGGACAGAUUCCUACUUAGGUGUAUAGGUUCUAUUCAUUAAUCUGAAUUGAAUUAAGUCAGACCAGAGUAAAUGACACAAAAAAUGUGUGUUCCCUCAGACUACUGUAAUGGCUUAAUCCUUGUGCAAACAGCAAUACUGGAAUAUAAAUAAUUCACAGCAGAUUCUUCUGGUUCUAAUCAGUGUUUCAUUUUCUUGGACACAGUAGAGAAAAUGACAAAAACAUGAUACAGGAGAAUUAAGAUUGCAGAGAGAUUAGGUGUUAGGAAGUGUCAUCAUUAAGGUGGUCUGUGAAAUUUGGAUUUUACUACCCCCACCCCACAUCCAUGCAUGCAUUAUGCUUGUUCUUAAUUACAUUCACAUCUACCAAUUCCAUUUAUAUGAUGAAGUGGAUAUACAUAAGGAAGUAAGCGAAACGACAACUACUGGUUCUUUCUAGGAUGCUAUUUCAUAGUUAGAAUUUGUUUGACAAAACUGUCUCAGAUUUUUAAGAGCUGUCUAUAGUUUCUAAGGCAGAAAGGUGUGUGUGGGAAUGCAAGACAGUUCUACGCUCAUCCAACACUUGUAAAUGAGUUUUGGAGAUAAAUUCUUGAAAUUCCUUGAGAGCUCAUUGAGACAUCCCAGAAAUUUCAUCUUAAUUAUCAAAGGAGUCAAAAUCUUAAUAAUAGUAAUAAUAAUAAUACUUUUCUAUCUAAAAAAAAACCCAAGCACCUAAUAAAAUAAUCCCUUUGAGGUAUAUGUAUUUUUCUGUAGGUGCAAGUAAACAUUGUUAUCUGAUUAUCUGUCUUUUUUAGGCUAGUGCAGCUGACAUGUCAAGCAUUAUUAAAAUUCAUAUUGCUUUAUGAAUUUAAGACUUACAUCAGCACAAUGCAAAGUAUAAAUCAAAAGCUACUCUGUAGAUCGAAGUAGAUUUCAGAUAAUAAGCAAUAUUACCAUGGGAAGAUACCACACUUAUCAGUGAAUUGUAGGUACCAGCAGAGAUGUUGCUUUCAACGAUGCAUGUGGCAAUCAAAUUUGCAUGUUUGUUUUAUGACUUGAGUGCCUGAAAGAUAUUAUCUGUUGGUGUUUUUUGUUUUUGUUGAGAUUCUUUCUCUUAAAGUGUCAGUUUUGUCAAGAGCAGUGAUUGAGCUGUUUUAAUAAUUACAAGAGUGAGGUUUUGUUUUGUUUUGUUUGGUGUCGCUGGCACAGAAAAGCCUCAGCAGUUCUUUUUUGUUUCCAAGUUGAUGCUGUCUCGAUGCUGCCGACUGUCAGUACAGUCUCUGAACCAUGGCUGUCAAAAGUAACAACAUAAAACUAGAAUUAAGAAUAUUCAAUGGUAUUUUAAAGUCUUAGCUAAAGGCUGCCAUUCAUCAAACCCUGACUUCUCAGAACACGUAAGCAUGUUUUUAUUUUUAUUAAGGCCAAUGAGUUCAGUCUUUAUGCAUCCAAAGCAUGUACUGCCAAUUCUUCUGUUUUAGCACUUUUUAAAAGCAAAUAAAUGGCUAUAAUUUGGCUGUUCACUUCAUAGAUAAAAAUCAGGGAAAACUGCAGUUGUGCAUGGAUUUAAUCCUAGGAGCAUUCUUCUGCAUUUCUGGUUCGUUACAGGUUAAUUAUGCUGGGAUUCGCUCUGUUAUGCUUCUCACAUCAACUUAAUUUUCCUAAGACUUCUCUUAUAUUGUAAGCCUCAUUUCAUACAUUUAAUAUCACUGUUCAUCAGCUUAAUUACCCCUUGGUCUCACCCCUUUGGCACAGGUCCUGAAAGUGAGACUCAAGAUUCCUUCCUCAGCCCCUGGACCAUCUGCUUUUUCCAGUUCAGAUAUGCUAGAUGUAGUCUCCAGAGGAGCAUACAUCUUCUCAGCUGCACUGGCUGGUGUACUGCAGCUGCAUCCAGGAGAACCGAGCCCUUUCUUUCUCUUCCCAGUGUCUACCACGUCUCCUCAGGUUGCAGUUCUUCCUUCACAUUUCUUCUGUGCAACAGAUGACAAAAACCUCCCUGCAUGGUCAGUAAUCCAUUUAGUUCAUCAGGCGAGAUCUCCAGUGCCAGAUGGUAUCUGGCCUUUCGAUUCAGCUCUGAGAUGCACUAGUGGAAAACCACAGGCAGCCAAAAAGCUCCCUGUUGACUACAUAUCUACGCAGGAGCACACGCAAACCACGCUCUAGGUAACCCCGACAGUAAUUCAUGGCAGUGCUUUGUGACCUGAUUUUAAAUAGUUGCAACAAAUUGUUUUUGCCUUGAAUUACUAAUAAUUUAUUUUGGGCAAACCAAGCCACUUUUAUGGGAUCCAGUAUCAUGCUAAGUGUGGUAGGUACAGAUGACAGGAUGCCUGUUCUUUUCUGGAAGGUGGCUGCUAAAUCCCUGGGGAAUGCAGCUCAUGUUUGUGAGCUGCUCCUGGCUCUGGACUUCUCUGUGUGUGCAGACCUGCUCUGGGCACUGGCGGCAGCAUAGGGUUGCAAGACUGCUGCAAAAUGCUGACCCAGACCUUCCCCUCAAGAGAUCAUCACUGAAAACUGGGUUGGUUUUAGGAAGGGACACACUAGGCCAUUUCCUAGGAUGGUGAAAUAGAAGAGGUAGAAAAAUUACAGCAGUAUGUGUAGAAAGGGAGAGGGCCUGGCUCCCAUGAGCAGCUCUGGCUCUGUCCCUGCAUGGUGUCCCUACAUCUGGGAAACCUGCUUGGUCUUGAAGCUGCAGGAUGUGGAAUAAGGAUAGCACUGGGGAAGCUACUGGCAGCAUCAUGUAAUUCAAUGUCACUACCAUCAGGCAAAGGCAAAAUAAUAUUACCUGAGUUCUUAUGCUCACUGAUGCCUGUGGCAGCAAAAGUCAGUUUUCCCUACUCAGUUCAAAUGCCCUGUGUAAAUGUGAAGGCUUUUUCAGAGUGAAAGACUCUCAGCCAGGGCUCUUUCAGAUGGAAGCCAAUAAAUCCUGCUGCAUUUCCUGCAGCCAGAGCCUUGUUGGCAGAUUCUGACUGGCCAAACAUGAGUAUACAGCAUCUGUAGAGUUUAUGCUUCAUUUUUAAGUGUAUCCAGGAGAAAAUUUCUGGAGUAAGGAUGCUGCAGAUUUAGGGUGAGGUUGUGCAGAUUUGGUGUUGUCUGUUUCAUUUCACUCUUGAAUCCUUUUGAACCUGCAUUGCUAUCCCAGCAUCAAAGCAGCUGUUUUCAUGAUGAGCUUUCUGUCAUCUGAACACAAAUGGUUCGUUUUGAGUACAAUUCAUUCAAUUGGAAAAAUUGCUUAGGUUUAAUAUUUUGUAGAAGAAGCUGUGCUAAUUUCUGCUAAUACAGAGACUACGCUGUCCCUCUUCCCUUCUAUAUGUUCCAUUUUUAAAUGCUACUCCUCCAUUAUGAGGCAAGAAAAUUUGCCUUUGAUCAUAGAGUCUUAUUUUGGUCUCGAUCUGGGAGUUCCCAGCUAUGCCUGUAGCCAUAAGUUGUCUGCACUCAUAGUUAGAUGAGAUGGUGGAUGGGUUGCUUUCUCACUGGGCAUUUGUCUCUCCCUGAAUUCAUUUAUUGUUGUAGACUUUUUCUCCCUGAAUUAUAGGAGGCAUUGAUGCUGGGGGAGCGUUGCAGUCCCACUGCCAUUCUUCAAGGCCCUACAAGGAAAACCUGCUCCAUGCUUCGCCCUUCUUGGGAUUCUCCGUGCCCCUGACAAGCACAGAAAGCCAACCACAGGCCAUUCUGGCCAGCAGAAACCGAGGACGUACUGUGUCCCUCCACAGCAGCAGCACCACCCUGUGAGCUGGCUGUGCUCUGACCCUGGGGAGCCCUGGCUGUGGGGUGCUGUGGCCUCUGCUCCUGGGGCACCAACUCAGCUGCUUGGAUGCCGUGAGCGUGAGCUGUGCUGCCUUCUCUUCCUUCUCCCACUUACAAUAUGUGGGCCCUGCCUACUUUGCGCCCCCAUCCUCUUACGCCAGGCCUGGCUCCUUGCAGCAGCUCUGAAGCAUCGGUAGGUGCUGGCUAAUGUUGGUAAGCAGAUGACACAGGAUGGUGAAGAUCCUUGAAACUCCACGGGAGGAAACGCGUGAGUAUGUGUGUGGGGGAGGCCUGCAGAUAAAAAUACUGUGGCGGCUAUGGGAGAAGACACACACGCCUCAAUCUGUUGGUGGGUUGCUAUUCUCGUUCAUGGUAAUCGAAGUGGAGGCUGCACUGGAACAAGUACAGCAGUAGGUUCUUACCCUGUUGAUUCACUUGCUGUGUUCCACUCUCCCUCCAGAGAGGCUUCUUGCCUCCUCUCCCGCCAGAAGCAAUGGCCAACCCCAGCUCCCAGUCUUCCCACCAGGCACUCAGCAGCCCCAGUGCCCAUGGGGUGGGGUCACUGCAGGGCCCCCACUUUCCUUACGCCAUUCUCUCUUCCUUUCCCUUCCAGCUUUCCUUAUGAAAUUUGAACCACUUAGCGUGGACUAAAUUUAGGGAGGCAUAAAGUGUUUGCGUACAAACAUGCUUGAUUUUCCAAGCAUGAAAAAUAAGCACAAAAUAACAGGCCUAAUGUUGGACCUGAGAGGAGGUCAGGUAUUUUAAAAUUAAAAUCCUAUAAAGGAAUCUGUAUCUGUGAUGACGGAUGAACUUUUCUUCUGACGGAAGAAAACCUCCCCCUUCUCAUUACAGUCAGAAUACAUGCAGAUAUUCAAGUCAGAUGAAAGAUGAAUUCUAAAUAUGACGACAGCCCUUCUUUUGUAAGAAAUGCCAUGCAGAUGAGUUGUAAAUUAUUUUUAGUUGCUACUGGAAACAGAGGAAGGGGGAAAAUCAAUAUUGACACAACCCUGCUUUAUUUUUAAGCAGUUACUGAUUGUCUGGUGGCACCAAUAAGGUGAGAAGAGAGCUGAAGCUGAAGCAAGUGGUGCAAGCUGGUCUGGGCUUAGAGAACAGAGGCACAACAGCCCAACAGCAUUAUUCCUGCAUGGCUAUAGCCAUCCCCUUUGCUGCUUCCCUUCACAUGGGCUGGGCAUAGGCAGGGCUCCCUGAACAGGAGCAGCAGUGGGGUCUUUGUCACCACCCCUUUGCUGGGACUGAGCAUGAGGACACUGAACCCACCUCGCCUUGUCACCAGCCAGGAGCAUUCCUGACACAGCCCCUCCAGGCCGCCUGGCUCCUCUUUCUGCAUUGGCUAUAGUGGUGGUGGACGUCAUGCAUAUAAUGGAAUAAAAUCAUAAACAGCUAGAAUUCAGGUUUGAUUAACUUCUAGUUUCUCAUGAUGUGCAGCUGUGUAAGGUAGGGCAUGUGACAGGGCAAGCCAUUCAGAGCAAAUGCCACAUUUAUUACUGCUCUGUUCCCAGGACACACAGGAGGAUGCAAUAUGGUCAGAAUGAAUUCAGAACAAAAAAGAUUCCCAAGCUCCUAUGGUUUAGAGGUUGAUACUGAGCUGGUUCUAAUGCAAUUACCUAAAUUUCAGAGAUGCUGUAAUGUGAUCUUACUCUUCCUUAAAAUGCCAUGGAACUUCUAAUGACAACACAGAUCAAAUUUUCUAUUUCAUGACUCAUUCCAAGGAAAAGGAUGCAACGCAAUCAAUAUGCAAAAAUAAAUGAAUAAAUAAAUGAAUAAAAAUAAAGGAGCAAAAAGGUACCUUCAUUAAGGCCUUCCUUUUAGGCCUAUGUGAAUCCAAUCAUCAACGCAAUGUCCGUGCGAAGCUCAGGUUUUUAUAUGGAGUGAAACUGACAGCCCUUCUGUAAGGGCUAAGUGGAUACCCUUCUGUAAAUUCUAUCCACUGGAACCAAAAUAGCCGUGCAAAGCAGAGUUAAGCCAAGCAUCUGCCUGCCUUCACACGCUGCAAAUCUCAAGUGAGUGGUUAAGGAACAGAGGAAGGAGUUGUUGUGCUGAUGUGCCAAUUAAUCAGUGUGGUCUGAAAGGCAUGCCGACGCAGGAGGUCGGGGUGGAUGGAUGAACGGGGGCAGCAUGAUGAUUUCAUGCAAAAGAAUUUGCUAGAUAAACGUCUGGCUUUUGGUAGUGGAAUGAAUGAAAAAGAGUCCAUUGGAAGCACACGCAGAGGUACAACAGACUUCUUGACAUUUCUGAACUGAACAUUUUCUUCUUUCUUGUGUUGUUGUUCUCUUUGCGAUGACUGUUUUCUCAGCAGACCAAGAAAUUCCAGCACAAGCCGUGUCCACCUGCAGGCACUGAGGGUUUUGCACAGACAGAAGAUGGUCCUGUACAUUCCUGGUAGCUCCACGUGAGCUGAGGUGAGGCUGCCUGACCUCCAGUUCUGCCACUGCACAUGCAGCCGGGCAGUCCUGUUGGCCGUGCACACAGCUGCUAUUAAUUCUACCUUGCUGUUCUUCUGUCAAUUUAAUUUUGUAACAUUUACUGGUUUAGAAGGUACAUUCGUCCUAGGGUGUUUUUGGUGGGUUUGUUUUUUUUGUUUUUGUUUUUUGUUUUUGUUGUUGUUGUUGUUUUCUUUUCCAUUUUGUGCUGCAAAAGGUCAAAAUUGUCAGAGAAGAUUUAUACUGAGGGAAAAGGAGCCCCAUUAAAAGCCAAGGUAAAACGCUUUCUGGAACAAAAAGGAAUGAGCCUAAGCCCAGCCCAGCAGCUGAAGAAAUAUGUUCCACGCCAUGCCUCCUGCUUUAUGGCAGAGGGAUUUGCUCACCGUACCGAUCCACGCGUGCAAGUGCUGCCCUUUGCACAGGCAGUGCUGAGAACGCACUGUGACCUGUGCAUGAGUCCCCGUGGGGCCACUGCUGGUCCCGCCUGCACCCGCUGUCCCACCUCGUGUCCCUGCACUGUCACAUAACUGUGCUACAGCCCGAUGG
rnacentral:lncRNA from 1 species